CGGCGCCGUGGGACGGCUUUCUCGAUCGGUUCGUCACCGAGUUGGUCGGCCGCCAGAACUGAAAUCGCGGGCGCCGCGCCCGCGACCCUGC
rnacentral:tRNA from 1 species